UACAGAGGAUGCGAGCGUUGUCCGGAAUUAUUGGGCGUAAAGAGCUCGUAGGCGGUGUGUCACGUCGGCCGUGAAAACCUGGGGCUUAACUCUGGGCGUGCGGUCGAUACGGGCAUCACUAGAGUUCGGCAGGGGAGACUGGAAUUCCUGGUGUAGCGGUGAAAUGCGCAGAUAUCAGGAGGAACACCGGUGGCGAAGGCGGGUCUCUGGGCCGAUACUGACGCUGAGGAGCGAAAGCAUGGGUAGCGAACAGG
rnacentral:rRNA from 1 species